AUUUAAGUAAUUUAAUAAAAAUCUUGAUUUGUGGUAUCAAAAAUGUAAAGUAAUUACCUUAAAUU
rnacentral:tRNA from 1 species